rnacentral:rRNA from 1 species
UAGGGAAUCUUCGGCAAUGGACGAAAGUCUGACCGAGCAACGCCGCGGGAGUGAAGAAGGUUUUCGGAUCGUAAAACUCUGUUGUUAGAGAAGAACAAGGACGUUAGUAACUGAACGUCCCCUGACGGUAUCUAACCAGAAAGCCACGGCUAACUACGUGCCAGCAGCCGCGGUAAUACGUAGGUGGCAAGCGUUGUCCGGAUUUAUUGGGCGUAAAGCGAGCGCAGGCGGUUUCUUAAGUCUGAUGUGAAAGCCCCCGGCUCAACCGGGGAGGGUCAUUGGAAACUGGGAGACUUGGGUGCAGAAGAGGAGAGUGGAAUUCCAUGUGUAGCGGUGAAAUGCGUAGAUAUAUGGAGGAACACCAGUGGCGAAGGCGGCUCUCUGGUCUGUAACUGACGCUGAGGCUCGAAAGCGUGGGGAGCAAACAGG